rnacentral:lncRNA from 1 species
AACACCUCAUAAGAGUCCUUUUGUGUAGGAUUUGAUCAGAGGAGAGGUGUUUAGCUACAGUACAGAGUUGGCCCAAGUUAGUAAAGCAGAGGUUCCAGGUGAGUGGGACUAACUAUGCAUGUUUUAAAUUAAAGAAUGUUUCAGCAUGAUCCAUGCAUCAUAAUUGCCAUGUUAAUGCUAGGAUGGUUAAUACUAAAAGAUAAUAAUGUGACGAACAUGAGACAUGCAUCAUGAAUGCCAUGAGAUAAUAGGUUGCACUAGAACCAUGAAGAUGCUGCAUUGCAUAACUGGAUGAGUAUGCGGAUAAAUGUUGAAUAACCCUUUAGCCCUCAGUAUGACAUGAAAAGUCGAGAAAAGAGUAAUGGAAGAGUCAAGCAUAAAGAGUAUAGUCAGGAGGCCUAAUCGCCCUGACAAAAAGUUUUCAGGAAGCAGUCAGGAGGCCUAAUCGCCCUGACAAAAUGUUUUCAGGAAGUUAGUCAGGAGGCCUAAUCGCCCUGACAAAAUGUUUUCAUGAGCUAGUCAGGAGGCCUAAGCGCCCUGACAAAACGUUUUCAGAAAUCAGUCAGGAGGCCUAAUCGCCCUGACAAAUCUGUUUUCAGAAAGUUAAGUACAAAAGAAAUUUUACAAGUGAGUCAGUUAGGAAGAGGGCUAUAGGUGACAACUUCUUCCUUGAUGUGUAUUAUUGUAAUGUGAUGUAUGACAUAAG